rnacentral:lncRNA from 1 species
CUAGUUGGUUUUAUUCUCAUUUUGUACCAAAUAUCCAACAAAGUGCAUAAAAACAAAACUAUACAAUAGAACCAAUUUUUUGCUUAAGGAAUCAUUGGAAGGGACAUUUUCUCAUGUAUUCAAUAUUUGAGGCCACAUUUCACUUCCCUUUUUUUAUAUGACACCAAAAGCAUGACUACAAACCAUUCAUUUUCAUCAACUUUUUAACCAUAAGCUGCCAUUGCUUAAUGCAAACAAAAUAUAAUAUCAAAGCAAACAGAAAAAUACAUCAACAUUAUUAUUACACAACAAAACAUACUUACUUUUCAAGCCAUACCUCUUUGCCCUUUGCACUAUACAAAUUCAUAAUGAAAAUAUUCCAAAACAAU